rnacentral:misc_RNA from 1 species
GAUGAAGAACGCAGUGAAAUGCGAUAAGUAAUGUGAAUUGCAGAAUUCAGUGAAUCAUCGAAUCUUUGAACGCACAUUGCGCCCGCCAGUAUUCUGGCGGGCAUGCCUGUUCGAGCGUCAUUUCAACCCUCAAGCACAGCUUGGUGUUGGGACUCGCGUUAAUUCGCGUUCCUCAAAUUGAUUGGCGGUCACGUCGAGCUUCCAUAGCGUAGUAGUAAAACCCUCGUUACUGGUAAUCGUCGCGGCCACGCCGUUAAACCCCAACUUCUGAAUGUUGACCUCGGAUCAGGUAGGAAUACCCGCUGAACUUAAGCAUAUCAAUAAGCGGAGGA